CCUACGGGGGGCAGCAGUGGGGAAUAUUGGACAAUGGGGGCAACCCUGAUCCAGCCAUGCCGCGUGUGUGAAGAAGGCCCUCGGGUUGUAAAGCACUUUCAGUGAGGAAGAACGCCUGGUGGUUAAUACCCAUCAGGAAAGACAUCACUCACAGAAGAAGCACCGACUAACUCCGUGCCAGCAGCCGCGGUAAUACGGAGGGUGCGAGCGUUAAUCGGAAUUACUGGGCGUAAAGCGCGCGUAGGUGGCUUGAUAAGCCGGUUGUGAAAGCCCCGGGCUCAACCUGGGAACGGCAUCCGGAACUGUCAAGCUAGAGUGCAGGAGAGGAAGGUAGAAUUCCCGGUGUAGCGGUGAAAUGCGUAGAGAUCGGGAGGAAUACCAGUGGCGAAGGCGGCCUUCUGGACUGACACUGACACUGAGGUGCGAAAGCGUGGGUAGCAAACAGGAUUAGAUACCCGAGUAGUC
rnacentral:rRNA from 1 species